rnacentral:pre_miRNA from 14 species
UUCUUUCCAUAAUAUAAAUUUGAAAGACCCCCGGAGUGGGGAGACCCUUACUCAAGUCUCGGGAUGAUGCAACCCCCCAAGAACUCACACAAGACU